rnacentral:tRNA from 1 species
GCAGCGGUGGUUCACUGGUAGAAUUCUCACCUUCUAUGAGGGAAACCUGGGUUUGAUUCCUGGCCUAUGCA